AUGGACACAGCUUAUAUCAAGAAAAAGAAAGAGGACAUCGCAAAUACACAUAUGGUGAGAACAUCUAUGAGUCAGCAAGCCUUUGAUCAGGACACUGGUACAGGGGGUACGGGAGCAGUGCUGCGUGAUGAGGCCGGUUUCUUUGUCGCUGCUUCCUGCAGUGAUAUACCCUUUGUGGAAGACGCAGCGACGGCAGAGGCUAGAGGACUACGAGAUGGCCUCCUACUAGCGAAUGAAGUUGGUUGCAACAAAAUCUAUGUCGAAGCGGACUGUCUGGAGGUAAUCGAAAUCAUGCUGAGUGGCGGGAUCAGGACACUGGUACAGGGGGUACGGGAGCAGUGCUGUGUGAUGAGGCCGGUUUCUUUGUCGCUGCUUCCUGCAGUGAUAUACCCUUUGUGGAAGACGCAGCGACGGCAGAGGCUAGAGGACUACGAGAUGGCCUCCUACUAG
rnacentral:rRNA from 1 species